CACCAAUGUCGAGCACUUUCGAAAAUGUUCGAAAAUGUUGAAGACUGAACACGCGCUGGAAUCUAAGACGGGAGACAAGUUUAUUAAGGCCAGACAGGUUUUCGACUCUUGAACAACGGCCAGGGUUUGCCAGAUGUGUCAACACACCAUGUCCAUGCUCCCGCCCUCUCCUGGAGUGGAAAGGUGUGGAAUCAAUGUGAAUGUGUAGAACACCUGACUGCCGUUCUUCAAGGUGCGACGAUGGUGUCGGAGGAGGUGUGAGAAAGGGAAAGAGAAGUGGCAGGAGAAAAGUGCCAGGCAGAGAAAAGAACAAUAAAGAGAGAGUGACGAGAGACAAUAGAGACGAGAAAGAGAGAGAGAGAGAGAGAGGUCAAGAGUGAAUGAGAGAGUCAGUGAUGAUGUGGCCAAAUCUGGGAAAACGUGUCCAACAACGGAAAGUUUAAUGGUCAUUUCAAAUAC